rnacentral:lncRNA from 1 species
UUAUGACUUUUAUAGGUAGUAGUCUACCAAAUAGCAUCUCGUCCAGGUCAGAGUUCGAGGUGCACCCAACUUUUGAUACAGCACUUCAUGGUUCCUCGAAUGCCAUUGGUGACAUAUGUGACAGGACUUGUUGUAAUAAAGUGUUGUCUUAUGUGACCAAAAACUUGCUAUGAUUUGAUUUGAACCAGUGUUAGUGUACCACGUACUGUGAUGCUUGAAAGAUAGGUGGGAUGUAAUAAAAAUAAGCUUGUCAAUUUUUUGUGCGGGACAGCGGUUGUGAAGGACGCUUCCUGUUAUCUCAGAAACUAGCAGCUUGACCUCCCAUUUUCUGUGAUUUAUUUCAAGGUUGCCGAGUUCGCAGUGUUUCAACUUUAGAGAGAUCUGCAACAACUUUACUGCCGGCAGAAAACGUACAGCCCAUGUGUUUUGAAAGUAAGAGUAAAGAUUCUGCAGGCCCAUUGUUAAUGGUAUGGACUGCACUGUGGGCCCUAGCUGCGAAAUUCCUGCUGAAGGUGGUGUGUCUGGUUCUUUGGCAUCCACUGGCUGAUGGUGCAGGGAUAUUCAUGCACAAACACAAUAGACGGAAGUUUUCGGCACCUAUGGGCAUUUUUGUGAGCCCAACCUGAACUGUCACAUUUGGCUGAGCUGCCCUCCGCCCCCUGGAUCUUACUUCAGUUUUCUCCACUUCGUCAUACAAGGACAUGUAAGGCUGUCCUUCUCAAAUGUAGCCCACUGGACACUUUCUGAAAGUGUGUGGUAGCAGUAUAGGUAGUAGUCUACCAAAUAGCAUCUCGUCCAGGUCAGAGUUCGAGGUGCACCCAACUUUUGAUACAGCACUUCAUGGUUCCUCGAAUGCCAUUGGUGACAUGUGACAGGACUUGUUGUAAUAAAGUGUUGUCUUAUGUGACCAAAAACUUGCUAUGAUUUGAUUUGAACCAGUGUUAGUGUACCACAUACUGUGAUGCUUGAAAGAUAGGUGGGAUGUAAUAAAAAUAAGCAUGUCAAUUUUUGUGCGGGACAGCGGUUGUGAAGGACGCUUCCUGUUAUCUCAGAAACUAGCAGCUUGACCCCCCAUUUUCUGUGAUUUAUUUCAAGGGUGAGGUGUUCUAGUAUUUAUAUAUGUUGUGUGUAUGUUGAUUGAUACAUUGCAUCUAACUGUUAUACCCCCAUAUGUUACUAUGGUCGUCUAUGGGAUUUUAUUUGGUGUUAUACACCCUAUAAUGUAAACUGAAGCAAAUGGACCUAAUUAGAAGAAAAACACACAAAAUGUAAUAACAUUUCGUCAUAAAUCUUGUCCAGCAUAGAUGUAAACAUGACACGUCAAUGGAUAUUCCAGAGGCCAAUUUCGCAAAUUUGCUAAAAAGCAUCCCCUCAUCAAAGCAAGAUAUAAUAUUUUAACAAAAAACUAAAAUUAGCACACUUUUCUGUGUUAUCUUAGCUAGUUAUCCUCCAAGUUUUAAUGUGUUUGGUCAAACUGUGUAUUUUUAAUUAUUAAGCAAAUGUGUUACCCGUCUGCCAAAACUGUCCACAGCCGGGCACAGAAACACAGAAAUGUUGGAAAAUAUUAUAAUGUUGUCACAUACUGACAAUCACCUGAUGUGUCCUGUAGACAAUAUCAUUGUGUAGUCUUUGUAUUUAUU